rnacentral:rRNA from 1 species
UACGUAGGGUGCAAGCGUUUAAUCGGAAUUACUGGGCGUAAAGCGUGCGCAGGCGGUUUUGUAAGUCUGACGUGAAAUCCCCGGGCUUAACCUGGGAAUUGCGUUGGAGACUGCAAGGCUGGAGUCUGGCAGAGGGGGGUAGAAUUCCACGUGUAGCAGUGAAAUGCGUAGAGAUGUGGAGGAACACCGAUGGCGAAGGCAGCCCCCUGGGUCAAGAUUGACGCUCAUGCACGAAAGCGUGGGGAGCAAACAGG